rnacentral:rRNA from 1 species
AGUCUACGUAGAGUAGGUUUGUACUCGUACGGCUACACGGAGAACGCUGCGGCGUGCUUUAACACAUGCAAGUCGAACCGGAGUACCCUCGAAAGAGAUUUCGGUCAAUGGAGAGGACUACUUAGUGGCGGACGGGUGAGUAACGCGUGAGGAACCUGCCUUUCAGAGGGGGACGAACAGUUGGAAACGACUGCUAAUACCGCAUAACGUACGGGUAUCGCAUGGUACUGGUACCAAAGAUUUAUCGCUGAGAGAUGGCCUCGCGUCUGAUUAGCUAGUUGGUAGGGUAACGGCCUACCAAGGCGACGAUCAGUAGCCGGACUGAGAGGUUGGCCGGCCACAUUGGGACUGAGAUACGGCCCAGACCCCUGCGGGAGGCAGCAGUGGGGAAUAUUGGGCAAUGGGCGCAAGCCUGACCCAGCAACGCCGCGUGAAGGAAGAAGGCUUUCGGGUUGUAAACUUCUUUUGACAGGGAAGAGCAGAAGACGGUACCUGUCGAAUAAGCCACGGCUAACUACGUG